CAUGUAGGCGGCUCAUCAAGUGUCUUGUGAAAUCCCCCGGCUCAACCGGGGAAUUGCUCGACAUACUGUUAGAGCUUGAGGCAGGUAGGGGUGUGUGGAACUCUUGGUGGAGCGGUGGAAUGCGUAGAUAUCAAGAGGAACGCCGGCGGCGAAAGCGACGCACUGGGCCUGUCCUGACGCUGAGAUGCGAAAGCCAGGGGAGCAAACGGGAUUAGAUACCCCGGUAGUCCUGGCCCUAAACGAUGUCUACUAGGUCGGAGUCACUCUGACGUGUUUCCGGCCGAAACAAAAGCGUUAAGUAGACCGCCUGGGGAGUACGGUCGCAAGGCUAA
rnacentral:rRNA from 1 species